CACAGCAUGACUCAUAUUAACCUUUGGAACCAUUUACCUGGAAUUACUAGGAACAAACAAAACCGAAAAUGAGGUGAACCUGGCUGCAAUCAUCAGUCUGUUGGAGGAAAGAUAUACGGUCUCCCAAGUAUCAAUUACCAGUCAGUAGCAUCUGCCAAGGUCAUAGCAUGUGACUGACCAGCAUUUUAACACCCCCUUUCAGG